rnacentral:rRNA from 1 species
UACGAGGGGUGCGAGCGUUGUUCGGAAUUAUUGGGCGUAAAGGGUGCGUAGGCGGUUUUGUAAGUCUGAUGUGAAAUCUAUGGGCUCAACUCAUAGUCUGCAUCGGAAACUGCAGGGCUUGAGUAUGGGAGAGGUGAGUGGAAUUCCUGGUGUAGCGGUGAAAUGCGUAGAUAUCAGGAGGAACACCUGUGGCGAAAGCGGCUCACUGGACCAUAACUGACGCUGAUGCACGAAAGCUAGGGGAGCAAACAGG